AGAGUUUGAUCAUGGCUCAGAUUGAACGCUGGCGGCAGGCCUAACACAUGCAAGUCGAACGGUAACAGGAAGCAGCUUGCUGCUUUGCUGACGAGUGGCGGACGGGUGAGUAAUGUCUGGGAAACUGCCUGAUGGAGGGGGAUAACUACUGGAAACGGUGGCUAAUACCGCAUAAUGUCGCAAGACCAAAGAGGGGGACCUUAGGGCCUCUUGCCAUCAGAUGUGCCCAGAUGGGAUUAGCUUGUUGGUGAGGUAACGGCUCACCAAGGCGACGAUCCCUAGCUGGUCUGAGAGGAUGACCAGCCACACUGGAACUGAGACACGGUCCAGACUCCUACGGGAGGCAGCAGUGGGGAAUAUUGCACAAUGGGCGCAAGCCUGAUGCAGCCAUGCCGCGUGUAUGAAGAAGGCCUUCGGGUUGUAAAGUACUUUCAGCGGGGAGGAAGGUGUUGUGGUUAAUAACCACAGCAAUUGACGUUACCCGCAGAAGAAGCACCGGCUAACUCCGUGCCAGCAGCCGCGGUAAUACGGAGGGUGCAAGCGUUAAUCGGAAUUACUGGGCGUAAAGCGCACGCAGGCGGUCUGUCAAGUCGGAUGUGAAAUCCCCGGGCUCAACCUGGGAACUGCAUUCGAAACUGGCAGGCUUGAGUCUUGUAGAGGGGGGUGGAAUUCCAGGUGUAGCGGUGAAAUGCGUAGAGAUCUGGAGGAAUACCGGUGGCGAAGGCGGCCCCCUGGACAAAGACUGACGCUCAGGUGCGAAAGCGUGGGGAGCAAACAGGAUUAGAUACCCUGGUAGUCCACGCCGUAAACGAUGUCUACUUGGAGGUUGUGCCCUUGAGGCGUGGCUUCCGGAGCUAACGCGUUAAGUAGACCGCCUGGGGAGUACGGCCGCAAGGUUAAAACUCAAAUGAAUUGACGGGGGCCCGCACAAGCGGUGGAGCAUGUGGUUUAAUUCGAUGCAACGCGAAGAACCUUACCUGGUCUUGACAUCCACGGAAGUUUUCAGAGAUGAGAAUGUGCCUUCGGGAACCGUGAGACAGGUGCUGCAUGGCUGUCGUCAGCUCGUGUUGUGAAAUGUUGGGUUAAGUCCCGCAACGAGCGCAACCCUUAUCCUUUGUUGCCAGCGAUUAGGUCGGGAACUCAAAGGAGACUGCCAGUGAUAAACUGGAGGAAGGUGGGGAUGACGUCAAGUCAUCAUGGCCCUUACGACCAGGGCUACACACGUGCUACAAUGGCGCAUACAAAGAGAAGCGACCUCGCGAGAGCAAGCGGACCUCAUAAAGUGCGUCGUAGUCCGGAUUGGAGUCUGCAACUCGACUCCAUGAAGUCGGAAUCGCUAGUAAUCGUGGAUCAGAAUGCCACGGUGAAUACGUUCCCGGGCCUUGUACACACCGCCCGUCACACCAUGGGAGUGGGUUGCAAAAGAAGUAGGUAGCUUAACCUUCGGGAGGGCGCUUACCACUUUGUGAUUCAUGACUGGGGUGAAGUCGUAACAAGGUAACCGUAGGGGAACCUGCGGUUGGAUCACCU
rnacentral:rRNA from 1 species